rnacentral:rRNA from 1 species
CCUACGGGAGACUGCAGUGAGGAAUAUUGGUCAAUGGACGAGAGUCUGAACCAGCCAAGUAGCGUGAAGGAUGACUGCCCUAUGGGUUGUAAACUUCUUUUAUAUGGGAAUAAAAUGUUCCACGUGUGGGAUUUUGUAUGUACCAUAUGAAUAAGGAUCGGCUAACUCCGUGCCAGCAGCCGCGGUAAUACGGAGGAUCCGAGCGUUAUCCGGAUUUAUUGGGUUUAAAGGGAGCGUAGGUGGAUUGUUAAGUCAGUUGUGAAAGUUUGCGGCUCAACCGUAAAAUUGCAGUUGAAACUGGCAGUCUUGAGUACAGUAGAGGUGAGCGGAAUUCGUGGUGUAGCGGUGAAAUGCUUAGAUAUCACGAAGAACUCCGAUUGCGAAGGCAGUUCACUGGACUGCAACUGACACUGAGGCUCGAAAGUGUGGGUAUCAAACAGGAUUAGAUACCCGAGUAGUC